rnacentral:rRNA from 1 species
GAAGAACGAUCUCGGCAACGGAUAUUUCGGUUUUGCAUCGAUGAAGAACGUAGCGAAAUGCGAUACUUGGUGUGAAUUGCAGAAUCCCGUGAACCAUCGAGUCUUUGAACGCAAGUUGCGCCCGAAGCCCCAUCAGGUCGAGGGCACGUCUGCCUGGGCGUCACACGC